GAGCAAGCCUCCCAGCGUGGCCGGGUCUGGCGUGACCCCGCUCGUUCCUGCAGCGCUUGCGAAAGCAACCUUGAGACGGUUUGAGGCCUUGCUCCGCGCCGCUCGCUCGCUCGCUCGCUCGCUCGCUCGCUCGCUGGUUUGGAGCAAGGUUAUAGACAUUUCAGACAUGC